rnacentral:tRNA from 1 species
CGACUUAGCUCAGUUGGUAGAGCAGCUGAUUUGUAAUCAGCAGGUCGCGAGUUCGAGUCUCG